rnacentral:rRNA from 1 species
AAUGUUUGAUGUUCUAACGUGGGCCCGUAAUCCGGGUUGCGGACAGUGUCUGGUGGGUAGUUUGACUGGGGCGGUCUCCUCCUAAAGAGUAACGGAGGAGCACGAAGGUUGGCUAAUCCUGGUCGGACAUCAGGAGGUUAGUGCAAUGGCAUAAGCCAGCUUGACUGCGAGCGUGACGGCGCGAGCAGGUGCGAAAGCAGGUCAUAGUGAUCCGGUGGUUCUGAAUGGAAGGGCCAUCGCUCAACGGAUAAAAGGUACUCCGGGGAUAACAGGCUGAUACCGCCCAAGAGUUCAUAUCGACGGCGGUGUUUGGCACCUCGAUGUCGGCUCAUCACAUCCUGGGGCUGAAGUAGGUCCCAAGGGUAUGGCUGUUCGCCAUUUAAAGUGGUACGCGAGCUGGGUUUAGAACGUCGUGAGACAGUUCGGUCCCUAUCUGCCGUGGGCGCUGGAGAACUGAGGGGGGCUGCUCCUAGUACGAGAGGACCGGAGUGGACGCAUCACUGGUGUUCGGGUUGUCAUGCCAAU